rnacentral:rRNA from 1 species
GCUUAGAGUUUGAUCCUGGCUCAGGAUGAACGCUGGCGGUAUGCUUAACACAUGCAAGUCGAACGGAGUACUUCGGUACUUAGUGGCGGACGGGUGAGUAACGCGUGAGAAUCUGCCUUCGGGAUGGGGAUAACAGUGGGAAACCAUUGCUAAUACCCAAUGAGCCGAGAGGUAAAAAAUUUAUUGCCUGAAGAGGAGCUCGCGUCCGAUUAGGUAGUUGGUGGGGUAAAGGCUUACCAAGACGGCGAUCGGUAGCUGGUCUGAGAGGAUGAGCAGCCACGCUGGGACUGAGACACGGCCCAUACUCCUACGGGAGGCAGCAGUGGGGAAUUUUCCGCAAUGGGCGAAAGCCUGACGGAGCAAUACCGCGUGAGGGAGGAAGGCCUUUGGGUUGUAAACCUCUUUUCUUAAGGAAGAAGAUCUGACGGUACUUAAGGAAUCAGCAUCGGCUAACUCCGUGCCAGCAGCCGCGGUAAUACGGAGGAUGCAAGCGUUAUCCGGAAUUAUUGGGCGUAAAGCGUCCGCAGGCGGCACUAUAAGUCUGCUGUCAAAGACCGCAGCUCAACUGCGUGAAAGGCAGUGGAGACUGUAGAGCUAGAGUACGGUAGGGGUAGAGGGAAUUCCCAGUGUAGCGGUGAAAUGCAUAGAGAUUGGAAAGAACACCAGUGGCGAAAGCGCUCUACUGGGCCGUAACUGACACUCACGGACGAAAGCUAAGCGAGCGAAAGGGAUUACAUACCCCUGUAGUCCUAGCUGUAAACGAUGCAUACUAGGCGUAGCUUGUAUCGA